ensembl:snoRNA SNORD22 Small nucleolar RNA SNORD22
UGCCAGUGAGGAGAGCAAACAUCCUGUCUUACCCCCUGUCCCAGCCCCAGAGCCAGUAAUGGUGAACCCACUGGGGCUGACUGGGAGAGAGGAUGAAAACUUGUUCCAUAUGGAACAGUCUGAGGUAC